rnacentral:rRNA from 1 species
UACAGAGGUGGCAAGCGUUGUUCGGAUUUACUGGGCGUAAAGGGUGCGUAGGCGGUCUAGUGUGUCGGAUGUGAAAGCUCACAGCUCAACUGUGAAAUUGCAUUCGAAACUGCGAGACUGGAGUACUGGAGAGGAGAGCGGAAUUCUCGGUGUAGCGGUGAAAUGCGUAGAUAUCGAGAGGAACGCCGGUGACGAAGGUGGCUCUCUGGACAGAUACUGACGCUGAGGCACGAAAGCUGGGGGAGCAAACAGG